CUGGCGGCGUGCUUAACACAUGCAAGUCGAACGGAAAGGCCCUGCUUUUGUGGGGUGCUCGAGUGGCGAACGGGUGAGUAACACGUGAGUAACCUGCCCUUGACUUUGGGAUAACUUCAGGAAACUGGGGCUAAUACCGGAUAGGAGCUCCUGCUGCAUGGUGGGGGUUGGAAAGUUUCGGCGGUUGGGGAUGGACUCGCGGCUUAUCAGCUUGUUGGUGGGGUAGUGGCUUACCAAGGCUUUGACGGGUAGCCGGCCUGAGAGGGUGACCGGCCACAUUGGGACUGAGAUACGGCCCAGACUCCUACGGGAGGCAGCAGUGGGGAAUAUUGCACAAUGGGCGGAAGCCUGAUGCAGCAACGCCGCGUGCGGGAUGACGGCCUUCGGGUUGUAAACCGCUUUCGCCUGUGACGAAGCGUGAGUGACGGUAAUGGGUAAAGAAGCACCGGCUAACUACGUGCCAGCAGCCGCGGUGAUACGUAGGGUGCGAGCGUUGUCCGGAUUUAUUGGGCGUAAAGGGCUCGUAGGUGGUUGAUCGCGUCGGAAGUGUAAUCUUGGGGCUUAACCCUGAGCGUGCUUUCGAUACGGGUUGACUUGAGGAAGGUAGGGGAGAAUGGAAUUCCUGGUGGAGCGGUGGAAUGCGCAGAUAUCAGGAGGAACACCAGUGGCGAAGGCGGUUCUCUGGGCCUUUUCCCUGACGCUGAGGAGCGAAAGCGUGGGGAGCGAACAGGCUUAGAUACCCUGGUAGUCCACGCUGUAAACGGUGGGUACUAGGUGUGGGGUCCAUUCCACGGGUUCCGUGCCGUAGCUAACGCUUUAAGUACCCCGCCUGGGGAGUACGGCCGCAAGGCUAAAACUCAAAGGAAUUGACGGGGCCCCGCACAAGCGGCGGAGCAUGCGGAUUAAUUCGAUGCAACGCGUAGAACCUUACCUGGGUUUGACAUGGAUCGGGAGUGCUCAGAGAUGGGUGUGCCUCUUUUGGGGUCGGUUCACAGGUGGUGCAUGGCUGUCGUCAGCUCGUGUCGUGAGAUGUUGGGUUAAGUCCCGCAACGAGCGCAACCCUUGUUCACUGUUGCCAGCACGUUAUGGUGGGGACUCAGUGGAGACCGCCGGGGUCAACUCGGAGGAAGGUGGGGAUGACGUCAAGUCAUCAUGCCCCUUAUGUCCAGGGCUUCACGCAUGCUACAAUGGCUGGUACAGAGAGUGGCGAGCCUGUGAGGGUGAGCGAAUCUCGGAAAGCCGGUCUCAGUUCGGAUUGGGGUCUGCAACUCGACCUCAUGAAGUCGGAGUCGCUAGUAAUCGCAGAUCAGCAACGCUGCGGUGAAUACGUUCCCGGGGCUUGUACACACCGCCCGUCAAGUCAUGAAAGUUGGUAACACCCGAAGCCGGUGGCCUAACCGUUGUGGGGGAGCCGUCGAAGGUGGGACUGGUGAUUAGG
rnacentral:rRNA from 1 species